GGGGGCGACAUGGCUUCGACAUGGGUGACAAAGCAUGCAGGGCAUACCGAGGAUCCGGGUACCUCGUAAAUCCAUCUGGAACGCACUAACUGCCAACGACGAGCGUUUCGCUCUAGCCGCUUAAUUGCGGCUGGCUUCCGAACUGGCCAUCCCGCGGGCCAGGCAGCGCAAGCUGCAUCGGAAUCAUUCAGCGGGAUAAGGCCAUGCGGAGUCGCGACGCACGGUUCGAAAAUCAAGCGAAUCGCCUGAAGCCAGCCUGUCCGUCGGCGGGUAGCGGGUUAAAUCAAACGGCGAGACUAAGUAUGUAGAACUGUCUGUGGCGCACUUAUGGACGCGGGUUCAAUUCCCGCCGCCUCCACCA
rnacentral:tmRNA from 1 species